rnacentral:snoRNA from 1 species
AAACCAUGAUAAGGGCAAUGCUUAAGUAGAUCUUUUUAUCUUUCCCAAGCCUUGUACAAUAAUUCUGAAUUUAGCUACAUGAAUGAUGUGAUAUCAUUUUUCAUCUU